rnacentral:rRNA from 1 species
UAUAGGUGCAACUAUUCAAAUGUUUCGUGCACCCAAAGUCCCCUUGAGCGGGGCCACAGUCCAUAGAAGGUGCUAGACCUGUACGGGUGAUGAAAUAUUUGAUAGGUUGUUCCAUGGAGUCGGGUUGUUUGAGAUUGCAGCCCAAAGAGGGUGGUAAACCUCAUCUAAGGCUAAAUAUGACCACGAGACCGAUAGCAAACAAGUACCGUGAGGGAAAGUUGCAAAGAACUUUGAAGAGAGAGUUCAAGAGGGCGUGAAACCGCUGAGAUGGAAACGGAUAGAGUUGACGAAACUUAUCAGCAUUCAACCGAUCAACUUAACAGUCUUACGGCUUUGUACCUUAAAAUUUUUUGGGGGCAUUGACGUAAGUUUAUACCGUUAAGUUUUUUUAUGAUUGGUGUAUUUGCUGAUAGUAUGCGCUGAGAGCUUCGUUAUUGCAUGUUAAUAUGUAUUGUAGUGGACCAUAUCAAUUUUGAUGUGGAAACCUACAUACAGUGAAACAUGUCUUUGAUGAAGUUACCAUGUGUGCAACAACUUUCGCAAAACAAUUGUGCAUCAUUUAUAAUAUGAUUAAAUUAACAUUUAAAUGCGGUCGCUUGCGACUUGUCAAAAAAUGUUAUUUGAUCGAUUAUAAAUUUGUAUGCGUUAAAGUUGUAUCUCGGUGUGAACGUCAAUCACCUAUCCGACCCGUCUUGAAACACGGACCAAGGAGUCUAGCAUAUACGCAAGCUAUUGGGUGGUAAACCUAAAAAGCAUAAUGAAAGUAAAGAUCAUCUUUGAUAUGAUUGAUAUGUGAUCCGUAUAAAAAUUAUUUCAAUAUAAUUAAUAUACGGCGCAACAUAGCCCCGUCCUUAUUGCAUGCAAUAGGGCGGAGGUAGAGCGUAUACGCUGGGACCCGAAAGAUGGUGAACUAUACCUGAGCAGGAUGAAGCCAGAGGAAACUCUGGUGGAGGUCCGAAGCGAUUCUGACGU